AACAGAGUAAUUGAUACACAAAGAUACAGUUAAGUGUCUUUCGUGAACUUGUAAACAUUAUUUUGUUUUGGAGACUAAUCGGUUAAUUAUUUGUUUUAUGUUACUACACUGAGAAUCAUACUCCUGGAUUAAGUGCGAAUUAAUUUAAUUUGUGAUAAGUGCGUAAGAAUAGUUUUGUUGUGACAGGAGUAUAACCUAAAAGUGCUUUUAUAAAUUUCUUUUUGCUUCAUAAUUGUGCUCUAUAAUAUUUUAUUUAAUGUGUAAAAUUGUUAUUAAGUGUUAUUAUGUGAAAGUGUUUUGUUGAUUAUGAUAGCAGGUGAUGCUGUUUGAAUACACCCUCAUUCCGUCACGGAAAGGCAACUACAUGCUUCUUUUGGAUGGAUACACAUAUCAUAAAGACAGAUCCAGUUUGAACUAUUAUUGUGCGAAAAGGUGCGCACAAGGUUGCAAGGCCAAAGUAAAGUUGUGCGAUGACGGGACUAUUUUAUACGCGAAUAGAUUACAUUUUCAUAAACCACCAGUUGUAAAAGAAAAUUUUUGGUGACAAAGUAUUUCGAAAAAUUUACAAAUUGUGAAAAGUAUUCGUUUACAAGCACUCUAUGUUCUUAUGUUUUAAAAUUCUGUUCGUAUAUAUUUGACGUCAAAAUUUGUAUUAUUUUCAUUUCUUACGCGUUUUUAAUAUCGUUCAAAAACGAUCCAUCAUUUUUACUAGGGCUAAUGCUAAAUAUAUUUUUAAAAGGGAAGGCGAAAUCCCAGAAGACUCGUAUGGGCACAUAACCAUUUCACCCGUAUUGCAACUAUUUAUACGAUUUUAAAGGUGUUUUCUUGAACAAAUUUUUUUAAGGAAGGAGGUGUUAGGUUUAUGUUCUUUAGUGAAUUUAGAUGAUCAUACAAACGUGAAAUAUAAAGAUAGAAGAUUCAUAAUACAAAACAAUUUCAGGGCUCAGAUUUAUCAACAUUGCGGGGGGACGAAAGCUACUCCAACUUAAUGGUUUUACGUAUUCCAAACACCCGAAUACUCACAAUUACUACUGUUCCAAAAAAGGCAAGGGAUGUAAGGCAAAAGUGAAAAUGUCUCCUGAAGGUUUUGUGGUAGAGAAAACACCAGACUCGGUCCAUAAUCAUCGCCGGCCGUGUUAUAUAUUGUCCACAGAUAUAUAUGUGAAGGUUUCAAGUUAAAAAUAUUUCCCUGAUUUGAAGGUACGUUCGUGAUAAAAUUUACACUAGGGAUUCCAGGAGUGUAUAAAAAUAAGGAAUAAUAGAAUAUAUGUUUUGAAAUUAUGAUUAUUUUAAGAUUGAUACGGCAGCCAUUUCAGAAUUUGAUAUAACUUGUAUGUUAACAUACUUAACUAACUUUAAAUACUUACAUAGUGUAGGCCUUAAGGUAUUUUGUUACUUAACUUAUCAAAGAUGCCUUUAAUUGGUUGAUAUUAUUUUAGUUAUUCAUUUCUUCAAAACCUUACAAUUAACAACAGGUGUUUUACUUAGGUUUUGAACUAUAAAUUAAAUGUAAUAUAUAUAUACAUAUAUAUAUGAUUAUAACAAGUAUAAUAUAAAAUUACAUAUAUAUUAAUACAUGUACUAAACGUAUAUAAUCUCACUUAAAUAUGUUUAUUGACAUAGUUUCUAAUAUCAUUUGACAAUGUUUUGUUUUUGGGAAUAAAUUAUAUAAUAUUAAUAGCUUAACUUCUUUAUUAUUAUCUGUUAAGAGUUUAGGGUGAAAUGAAAAAAAAAACAUACAUUCAUAAUGUCGUCUCCAUCCCUCACGGGGUAGACAGAGCCAACAGUUUCGAAAAUACUAAUGGGCUCACGUUCCACUAUAGGUAUGGAAAUGUAUAGUAUAAUAUGGAAAUAGAAGAAUUAUUUACACCAUUAUGCCAAAUUUAAGACUUAUUUAUAUUGUGGAGGACAAAAGUCAUCCAUCUCAGUUUGGUCCAAAGGUUGAACUGGCAGAGAAUGCCUUAUGGCAUUAAAUCCACUUGUUGAACAUUUACGUCCAUAAAGCUUAAAUAAAUCUUUCAGUCAUCUGGGCCCCCGCCAAGUUGAGCAAAAAAAAAAGCGACACGGCCGUACCACCCUUUUCUCGAAGCAAUUCAGGCUAUUUUCGACUCCCCUAUAAUUUCGUUGUGGAUAAAACAAAAAGUCUGAAUUCAUGCGAUGUCCAAGUCGAUCUAUUUGUUUAAAACGUUUAUUAAUAUUUUAAUAUUGGCAUAAUAAUAAGAAAUGACUUGAUAUUACAUGUAUCUCACAACUUUUACAGUAGAAAAUGUGAGCUGCGAGACUUGGGUUUUUUACAGGAUGUUUUUGAUGGCAUUUUUUUAUUCGCUCACUAUGUAUUUUGGUACAUUAGUCUCAAUUUCAUAAGGCGAUUCUAAUUAAUAAUUAUUUUCAACAGGUUACCAGUGCGUUUUUAUACCGUCAAAGAUGGGUCACCAACUACUUCUAGUCAACGGUUAUACAUUUUCAAAAACAAAGAAUAACCAUUUCGUAUGGGUCUGCUCAAAGAAAGACGUUAAAUGCAGAGCGAAAUUGAAGAUGAACGAAGCCGGUAAAACAUUCAAUUGACGCUCACCAAGGAAGGGAAUACAGUCUACGUUUAUAAGAACCACACAUUUUCAACCAAAGGUCGGGCAAAGAGGUCCCUGUUCUGCUCACGGUAUUUCCGAGGAAAAUGCCCUGCAAAAUUGAUGCUCAAUGCUGAUGGCAAAAUAAUUUUCGUCAAUAAUUUACAUAAUCAUGAUCCACCGAAGUAUACGAUCAGUGAAGAUGGUAUGAUCGAGAGAGAUAUAUACAAGCCGUGGGUGUGUAAAAGUGAAGGAAAGUCAAGUGAUAAUGUAUGACAAAUGCUUGGACAUCACCUUGAAAUGUCUUGUCUGUAGAAGGAUUUUUAGUUAAACGAUGGUCAAUGUAUAAUUUCAUAAAUUAAUUAAUUUAUAUAUUUCAAUAGUACAGUUAAUUACAUAUCAAGUUAACCCUGCAUGGAACUUUAUGACAAGGUAAUAAGAGGGGAAUUCGCGGUGAAUUUUUUUAACAGCCUCUGUGCCGCAGCGGUUCCUUGUUCGAAUCCCGGUCAGGAUGAGAAACGAAUUUCCUCUGAUUGGCCUGGGUUCUGGAUGUAUGUAUUUAUUAUAAUUUGAUGAAAAUUGCUUAUUCUUAAAAUUGUUUCUUCUUUGUACAAAUCUUAACUUACUACAAGGCUUCUUCUUUAUUAAUCUGUGUAAUUUGUCCCGUAUAUAUACAUAAAAUCUCCCGAUUUUCCCAGAGGGGUAGGUAGGACGCCAUUAUAACCUGAUAUAUAUAAAUUAUUUUUAUUUAUUUGGUGUGCUGUUGACUGUACUGGUAACUUUAGCUGUAAUAGAUGCUGCGGCGUAGAAAAGUAGAUAUUGGCUAACGGCCGAGUGAAUAUUAUUUAGGAAUUUCUUAUAUAUGUAUUUGAUGUCGAUGAGUAUAUUUUAAGUACUAAAAUCUGGUUAGUAGUGGACCAUGUUAGCUUCUUGUAUUAAAUGUCCUUCCACUCACAAAACCGACAAAAUUCAAACGGAAGCAGCUAAUAAUAAAUAUUUUAAAGUGCUUGCAUAAUAAUUGUUUUAUGUUUUCAAAUACCUCCACGAUGUAAAUAGUUAACGUAGGUAAUUUUGUUACCGUACUUUUGCUUUCUUUUCUUAACGAAGAUUACGUAAAUAAAACUAGAUUUGGGUAAAAGAAAUUAAUGACAUUUCUCAUAAGUGUUAUUCUAGUCUUUUUAAUGAGUCAAAUUUAAGCUUUGCGAAAAAGUGGAGAGACCUUAGCUCAGCAGUGGGACGGGAACGAUUUCAUUAUAUUUAUAAAUUUAUUUGUACAUCUGCACUUUUAUUUUUAUUAUGUAUCACGCCUAAGUUUACCUACCUACUUGAAGCCAUCUUGCAGAGUUAUUUUUUACUGUUUAAAUUUGUGUUCUUAUGUAGUUUUUAAGUGACAUAUUUUGUUAAAACAUAUCGUAGUUGUUGCUUUAUGCGUAAUAAAAAUCACAUUUUAUUUGAUUUCUUUUUUUUCUAUUGAGGUUAUAAGUUGAAAGGCUUGUAAUGUGGUUUUUUUUUAAUUUUGUUUUCUUUAACUUAUGCACGUCUAUUAUGGUCUUGUAACAAUCUGUUAAUUUUUAAUUAAGGAAAAAUAAAAAAAUAAUAAUUACAUCAAAGUAAUGGAAGAUUAAUAAAAUAUGAAGCAUUUCAGGCUGGUUGGUGUCAGGUGAGUGGUACACUAUUUUUUCGCAAGCGAUAAACAUUGCCUACCUAUUAGGGAAAGGGGCGUGAUUUUAUGUAUGUAGGUACAGGAGCCCAGGGAUUCAAAGCCAACAUUCUCACCGUAUGCUAUGAAGUAUUUUCUAUAAUGGACUUAGUUUCGAGCUUACUAAGUAUAGUUAAAGCUUACUGGCUAUAUACCCAGUAAGCUAGUCCCAAAGUAAGGUUGAAACUUGUGACAUGGGAUACUAACUCAAAGAUACCUACUAAUUUGUAAUAUUUGAUAAUACAUUUUUAUGUAAAACCCUGGCCAAUCAGAUAAAGUUCUUUUCCUUCACAACCUGACCGAUAAUAGAUAUAUAAAACUUACUUAUAUGAUUAGCUGGAUGAAGUAAUGACAGAUUUAGAGCUAGUAAUCAGUUGAUAUCAUAUAAGUUAGAUUAAGCCUUUUCAUUGAUAGCAUACACAACAUAGCUUUCACAUUAAGCGAAGCAACUGGCUUGCCAAGUUUGGUUUUUGUUGCCGAUCAGCACGGAGACACACCGUGCGUCUUGUAUGGUUUUGAAGACUUGUUACGCCAUAAUGAGGAUCCAAUAUGAACUUGCAGGUAUGCUGACCUUUUUGCCAAUGGAGAACAAUAAGCAUAUUAUCUUUUACAAGGGAUACUCGUUCUCCUUUUUAAACAAGGACAAGAAAUACCUCCGGUGUUCAAGACGGAUUGUAGGGAAAUGCCACGCUCGUCUGAAAGUAAAUGCGUACGGUGCUGUGGUCAUGGAAGAUACGAUUCAUAAUCACCCCCCGCCGAAGUUUACACGAACCACCGCUGGGUUGUACUAUAAAUUGUCGUGAUUGGUCAAUCAUGCCAUCACAUUUUUAAGAAAGAAAAAAACUGAUUUUUCUAAAUAACAUCUGUAAACUGUUUAAUGUGAACAAGUGUGCUUUGCCUGUUUGGUUUGUCACUAAUUCUAGUCAUUAGUUUUAGUCUGAUGGUAUAAUUAAUAUAUUUAUUUUCCUUCUUUUCAUUUUUAGUCAGAUUUAAUAAAUCCGUCAUGAUGAAUUAGCUGUUUUAAAUUCUUUUGUAAAGAGAAAAUUUCUAAUAAAAAUUUCGCGAUGUAUGCAAGAGACCAAUUUCUCGCUUAUGUACCUACAGAAUAAGGUAGACUUUCUACUACUAUAGCGAUUUCAGAAAACCAAUACCCGUAAUCAUUAUCAACAAUGAGGACGACUCCAUCAACAAUAUAUUUCUGAAAUAUAUAAAAUACUCAAACGUUUCAAUUAACACAAUUAAGAUGUGUAUUUCACAUCCGAGUUUGAAACUAGUUAAAUUUUUUAGAAUUUCUUUGAAAUCAGUAAUGUAUAAGCGUAUAUGAUUUAAUUUCCAGCUUAAACUUCAUUUCACCAAUUUGUUUUCAGUUCCGUAUAAACUGGUUGACAAGAAAGGCGAUCCAAUAUCCACCGACGGUGACCAUCUCGUUUAUGAAGGUAUUAAAUAUCAUAAGUAUGAUACUGACGAAAAUGGAAUAGCAAGCUGGUUCUGCGCAGACAAAAAGUGUGCUGGGGGAUUCAAGACUAAGAACUCAUUUGUCAUCAGUCAAGAAAAACAUGUUUGUACUGCAGGCAAUAUUGACGUUUACAUAAAACAGAAAAUAGAAGAAUGUAAACACAGAGUUCAGUUUGAUUUCCGUUCUAUAACUGUCAUAUAUAAAGAGAUGGUGCAGGAAUAUAACAGCACUGGUAUGAAUAGAAUAAAGGAUAUGCCGGAUUUUUCUAGUAUUAAGUCAUCCUUAUAUAGAAGUAGGGAGAAAGCAAAGAAACAAACCUACGUACUACCGUACUCAUCAUGUACAUAACAUUGUGAUGACAAAAGAUUGUUUUACAUUUCUGACAAACAUCGCUUUUUGAAAUUAUAAUGUUUACGCGUAAAAUCUCAAACGUUUCAUGUACCCUAUAAGUUGAUUGGUGAGAAUGGUGAACCAAUAUCAACAGAUGGAGAUCAUAUGUUCUAUGAAGGAAUCAAAUUGGAAAAAAUAGACAUAGAUGAAGAUGGAGUAACAAGUUGGAGCUGUUCUAUCAAAAUGUGUAAUGGAGGCUUCAAGAUAAAGGAUUCCUUUGUUAUCGAUCAAGAAAAACACAUGUGUCCAGCGGGCAAUGUUGAUUUUAUUAUAAAGGAAAAAAUAGAAGAAUGCAAGCAAAGAGUGCAAAUUGAUAAGCGUUCCAUUACGACCAUCUAUAAAGAGAUUGUGAAGGAGUAUAAUAAGACUGGCAUGAAUAAAGUAAAAGAUAUGCCAGAAUUUUCCAGUAUUAAGUCUUCGUUAUACAGAAGUAGGGAAAAAGGAAAAAAGAAGUAAAUGCUUAUUAGUAUUGAAUAAAAUAAAAACAAUCAAUAUCGAUUUUAAGAAAUAAUAUGUACAAUAGUUUAUUAGUGCAAACUUAGUGUUAUCGCGUUUCGUCGGUUCGUCGUGAUAUUUUUCCUUAGCUAUGAAGUAUUGGUAAGCAAUCAAAUUAAUCUCAGAAAAGAGUUGUUGGUACAAGGCCGCACGCCUUUUGUCUUUUCUGGAUUGAAUUUUGAUUAUCGCUCACUUUUAAUACUUUUAUCGACUAUACAAAAAAUUCAAUUAAAUUCAAUCAGUUCUCUAGGUCUACAAUUAUUUAAAUUCAAUUUCGUAAAUAAAAAAAAAGGUUGGUAUUCAACAUUUUAUUCGUCUAAGUGAAUACAUAUAGCAUUAUUUUUUCAAUAAAACUGAAGUAAAAAAUAUUAUUUAACUUAAAAUUAUUUAUACUCGUAGAUUAAUACUGAUAGUACAUAAUUCUAAAUAUUAAUAUUUUGAUUCGUGUUUAUUACACUUAUAUGAUUAUUUUGUUAUGUAAUUUUUAAAUAUUUGCGAUUUUAGAGAUGCACCUUAUUUAAAAAAAUUCGUCACUUUAUUUAGAGACGUUGGUGUUUGUAUUCGAUGUUCAAAGUAAUUGACCAUUAAAGAUUUAAGAGUAAAUUUAUAUAUGGUUCUAUUGAAAUAAUUAAAUGUUUGCACUGAAUACAUGCUUGUUAUUAUGUCGAAAAAUUUAAGAUUCAUGUUUGUAGUCAUUUUAUAUAUGAACUUCUUCAUUAAUAUACUUAUCUAGUUCGUUAUGGGAAGUAAUGCACUAUUGUAAUAAUUUUAAUAAAAAGGUGUCUUGUUUUUAAAAAAUUAUAUCUUUCAAGACGUUUUUAUAAGGUCUGUUAUUUUAUUAGUAUUCGAUUGUUCAUCAUCUUUGGUACUAGUUUAGUCUGCAGUAGGUAAUUUCAUAAUUAUUAUAAAAUUUGUAUAUGUUUCUAUAAUAACAAUUAUAAUUUUGUCGUAUGGUACUUAUUAAAUAAAAUAAUGUUUUGGUCAAUCUUUCAUUCGUGUUUGAUUUUGUGUCUUGUUGUAAAUAUUUAAGAAAAUUAUAUUAAACGAAAGUAAAUUACAAUAUGAAUCAUCUUUUAUCUUAAGUCUUGUAGUAUAUGAAAAAUGACAAGUUGCUAAAAAUCUCCGAACUUAUACAAGUACUUACAAAAUUGGAAAUACGUAUACGUUAAAAGAGAAAGUGUUUUAACCAUAAUGAGCAUAGGACAUAGAGGUUUAUCUAAAAUUGUAUAAUCUCAAAUCUAAAUAGCAUGUAUUUGUCAUUGUAUAUCUUCAGUAAUCUAAAUAUACCUAAUAAAUCUCAAAAUUACUCUGAAGUUUACUCGAUUUGCUUGAUUUGUCCCUUAUAAUUUCAUUAUUUGUUUAUUUUUAAUUAUCCACAGGCGAUGACUAUAUCCUCUAUAAGGGUAUUAAAUAUAAGAAAUGUUUCACUGGUGCUAAGGGAUUAAAGAAAUGGCGCUGCGGUAUCGACAAAACGUGUACUGGAGAGUUUCAUACCCAGGAUGAAAUUAUUACCCGACAAACAGCACACUCCACUACCUGUCCAACAACAAAUAUUCAGAAAAUUAUAAAAAAGAAAAUAGAAGAAUGCAAAAGAAGAGUUCAAACAGAAAAAAAAUCUGUUGCCUCCAUCUAUAAAGAGAUCGUCAAGAUAUAUAAUGAAAGCGGUAUGAAUAAAGUGAAAGAAAUGCCACAAUUUUCAAGUGUCAAAUCAUCCUUAUAUAGAAGUAGGGAGAAGGUUAAAAAUAUGUAAUGAUAAUUCUGAAUAUUCGAAUAUAACACUUAAUCUGCGAUCAGUCUGCGACUUUUUCUGUUGUGGACAUGUGGAGGAAAUCCCUCAGAAGGAGGACCUCCUCGACUUUGAAUAUUCGAUGAAUUAAUGUCGAACUGUUGUUAUUUUAUUUAACAUAAAAAAAAUAGACAAAAUGGAUUGACUUAUGAAAAAUUAUUUAAAAAAUCAUUAUGAAAAAUAAGGUAACUUCAAUGUACUUUUGGCCUUGAGUUUCACUCUGGUUCUCGUGAAUUUAUUCGGGGUCUCGUUUACUGUAAUAAAAAAGUGCCUUUGUUCAUAUACACUCGUUAUAAUGUACCUGUAAUAUAUUUUAAUAUGUAUGUACUAGUUGAAUCCAAAUAAGAAAUUUUCAAUAAUAAAAGUUUGUAUCUCAAAUCAACCCAUUUAUAAACUUCCCUGUCUCUAAAAACAACACAUAUAUCCGAGAAACUAUUAUACAUUUAUUAACAAGU